GUAUUUGAAGUCAUAAAGAAUUGCACAAAAAAGACGGAAUCUUUUAAAAUAAAAGAACAUAUCACCUGUCAGAGUACUAAUGUGAUCUAUGUACUGGAGUGUCCGUGUGGACUCAAGUAUGUAGGAAGAACCAAGAGGAAGUUGUAUGUGAGAAUUAGAGAACAUAUGCUGAAUAUAAAGAAAGGUUAUAUGCAGCAUUCAGUUUUAGCCCAUUUUCAACAACACAAUUCAGAUAUGAGCCUUUUGAAUUUUAAAGGGAUAUGUAAAGUAAAUAAGAACUGGAGAGGGGGAGAUCAUAAUAAACAAUUAGGCAUUACUGAGAUGCAAUGGAUAUACAAAUUAGAUACGUUGCAGCCUAAGGGAUUAAAUGCGGAGUUUGAGCUUUGUCACUUUUUGGAAUAAAAUUUUUUUUAAAUAUAUUUUUU